UGAGGCUGGUGGGGGGAGGCUGAGGGUGGUGAGGCUGGUGGGGGGUGGGAGCCUCCCCCCACCAGUCUCACCACCCUCAGCCUCCCACCCCCC